UGCGUUCACCCAGUCGACAGAGAAUGAGAGAACCACUGCUUCAGCCACCGCUCCACUCUUUCCGGUAACCUCCGCCGCUCUCCGAUUCGGCAAUGGAAGCGGUAACUUCUAUAGUUCCAGAUUUCAGCACUCUCCAAUUCGACAACAACAGCCACACCAACUCACUCGAAAUCGACGGCUACAAAGACCGCGUCGAUGAGCUUUUUCGCAAAGCCGACAUGCUUGAGCAGAGGGUGAAUGAAGUAGAACAAUUUUACUUGACUGUAAAUAGUAAUAGUAAAAAGACUACUUCCAAAGGUAACAACACUAGCUCAGUUGUAAAGGAUAAUAGUAAUAGUAAGGAGAGGCAGCAAGUCCCUAGCUUAAGGAGACAGCAACAGGAGGCUUCUAAACGAGAAGCUGCGGGUUCUAAGCGAAUGCAGGAGCUUAUGCGCCAAUUCGGCACCAUUUUGCGACAGAUUACGCAGCAUAAGUGGGCAUGGCCUUUUAUGCAACCUGUGGAUGUCAAAGGUCUUGGUUUACAUGACUAUUUCGAGGUUAUUGACAAGCCAAUGGACUUCAGUACCAUAAAAAAUCAAAUGGAGACUAAGGAUGGUACUGGAUAUAAGAAUGUUAGGGAGAUAUGUGCUGAUGUGAGAUUAGUUUUUAAGAAUGCAAUGAAAUAUAACGAUGAAAGAAGUGAUGUCCAUGUUAUGGCUAAAACAUUGCUGGCAAAAUUUGAAGAGAAGUGGCUACAACUUCUGCCUAGAGUCACUGAAGAGGAGAAAAGAAGAGAAACGGAGGAAGCAGAGGCGCAGUUAGAUAUGCAACUUGCUCAGGAGGCAAUUCAUGCUAAAAUUGCAAGAGAAUUAUGUAAUGAGCUUUAUGAGAUUGAUACGCAUUUGGAUGAACUCAGAGACAUGGUUGUUCAAAAGUGCAGCAAAAUGUCAACCGAAGAGAAAAGAAAGCUUGGGGCGGCUCUCACAAGGUUGUCUCCUGAAGAUCUCACUAAAGCAUUAGAGAUUGUUGCUCAAAAUAAUCCAUGUUUUCAGGCUACUGCUGAAGAGGUGGACCUUGACAUUGAUGCUCAGACCGAGUCUACUCUUUGGAGGUUAAAGUUUUUUGUGAAGGAUGCUCUGGAAGUUCAGGGAAAAAAUGCAGCGAGCGCAGGUGGAAAUAAUAAUAUCAGUAAAGCCACCACCAACAACAAUAACAUUAGCAACAAUAAGCGGAAAAAGGAGAUUUGCGAGGCAAUUGCCAAAACUGCCAAGAAAAGGAGUAAAAAAACCUCUAAUUAAUCGUACCAAGUGCGAUUCUGGGCAGGUUUCGGUUUUGAUUUAUUGCAUGUGGAUCGGUAAUCUGGGCAUCAAUUUUUACUCUCAUCCAUGAGCUAACAGGAUUUAUGAAGGGAGGCAGCAAGAAUGUUGAAAUUUUGCUAGGUCUAGUUCUAUGUACACAUGCAAGUGAUGGUACAUCCAAGAUAAGCUUUAGUCAACCCUCUGACAAGGUAUGAUCUGCGUUUCCAUGUCCUGAGUAGGCCCUGAUGACCCUUCUCGCCACCGCUGUUGCUGACGGAAACUAGGAUUUCCGCACUGGGCAUGUCUGCCGGAAACAUAGAUACUGGGGCUUGCCGGCUCUGCCGUUUUCUGAUAUUGCUAAGCUCCAUCUCUGCUGGUAUUCUUACCACACCUAUCAUGAACUUGUGCUUCUUUGAUUCACCUGGCUCGCUGCGAAAACUCCGAGUUUCACGUGGUAUCAGAGAAGCUUUUGAUCUGUACAUAUCAAAUGAGUUGGAACGGUGGCUUCCGCUUAGCAACAGAGAAUUUCCUUCAUCGUACAAAACAUUUGCGGGUUUCUCUAUAUUGCAUGACAUAAUUCUUCCACAGAAGAUGACAUUAUUCAUCAAUACAGCAUCUGUUUUUGGUUUUGCAGUUGCCGAAAACUCGAAUAAAUCUUGGUUUGAUAGACAAUGGUGUAGUUCUUGAUCAUGAUCUUGAUCGAGACAAGUAGUGAUUUCGGUUUCUUGGUCAAGUUGAAGGUCACAUAGAGAAAGAGAAUCAUCAGAGUCUUCAUCCAAUUCAUGGUGAUAGUUGAUGUUUUCCAUUUUGUGUUUGGUUGGAAAGAAAAUGAAAGAGAAAAAUAAAUUUAAGUAGAGUUGGAAGAAAAGAGAAAUGAGAAUGUUUAUUUAUGUUAUUGGUAGCAGGCUUUUCUAACAUAUAAAUAUGUUCAAUAUCAGUUGAUUUCUUCUGAUUUAA